rnacentral:rRNA from 1 species
GCUCAGGAUGAACGCCGGCGGUGUGCCUAAUACAUGCAAGUCGUACGCACUGGCCCAACUGAUUGAUGGUGCUUGCACCUGAUUGACGAUGGAUCACCAGUGAGUGGCGGACGGGUGAGUAACACGUAGGUAACCUGCCCCGGAGCGGGGGAUAACAUUUGGAAACAGAUGCUAAUACCGCAUAACAACAAAAGCCACAUGGCUUUUGUUUGAAAGAUGGCUUUGGCUAUCACUCUGGGAUGGACCUGCGGUGCAUUAGCUAGUUGGUAAGGUAACGGCUUACCAAGGCGAUGAUGCAUAGCCGAGUUGAGAGACUGAUCGGCCACAAUGGAACUGAGACACGGUCCAUACUCCUACGGGAGGCAGCAGUAGGGAAUCUUCCACAAUGGGCGCAAGCCUGAUGGAGCAACACCGCGUGAGUGAAGAAGGGUUUCGGCUCGUAAAGCUCUGUUGUUGGAGAAGAACGUGCGUGAGAGUAACUGUUCACGCAGUGACGGUAUCCAACCAGAAAGUCACGGCUAACUACGUGCCAGCAGCCGCGGUAAUACGUAGGUGGCAAGCGUUAUCCGGAUUUAUUGGGCGUAAAGCGAGCGCAGGCGGUUGCUUAGGUCUGAUGUGAAAGCCUUCGGCUUAACCGAAGAAGUGCAUCGGAAACCGGGCGACUUGAGUGCAGAAGAGGACAGUGGAACUCCAUGUGUAGCGGUGGAAUGCGUAGAUAUAUGGAAGAACACCAGUGGCGAAGGCGGCUGUCUGGUCUGCAACUGACGCUGAGGCUCGAAAGCAUGGGUAGCGAACAGGAUUAGAUACCCUGGUAGUCCAUGCCGUAAACGAUGAGUGCUAGGUGUUGGAGGGUUUCCGCCCUUCAGUGCCGGAGCUAACGCAUUAAGCACUCCGCCUGGGGAGUACGACCGCAAGGUUGAAACUCAAAGGAAUUGACGGGGGCCCGCACAAGCGGUGGAGCAUGUGGUUUAAUUCGAAGCUACGCGAAGAACCUUACCAGGUCUUGACAUCUUGCGCUAACCUUAGAGAUAAGGCGUUCCCUUCGGGGACGCAAUGACAGGUGGUGCAUGGUCGUCGUCAGCUCGUGUCGUGAGAUGUUGGGUUAAGUCCCGCAACGAGCGCAACCCUUGUUACUAGUUGCCAGCAUUAAGUUGGGCACUCUAGUGAGACUGCCGGUGACAAACCGGAGGAAGGUGGGGACGACGUCAGAUCAUCAUGCCCCUUAUGACCUGGGCUACACACGUGCUACAAUGGACGGUACAACGAGUCGCAAGCUCGCGAGAGUAAGCUAAUCUCUUAAAGCCGUUCUCAGUUCGGACUGUAGGCUGCAACUCGCCUACACGAAGUCGGAAUCGCUAGUAAUCGCGGAUCAGCAUGCCGCGGUUGAAUACGUUCCCGGGCCUUGUACACACCGCCCGUCACACCAUGGGGAGUUUGUAACGCCCAAAGUCGGUGGCCUAACCUUUAUGGAGGGAGCCGCCUAAGGCGGGACAGAUGACUGGGGUGA